GGAUGCUGUAGAAACUUAUUCUGGAGAAUCUUCUUCUAGCAUUCAGGAGAGCUUUUUAACUCUCUCACUUUGCAGUCCAUUAUAAUUUUACUGUGGAAGAAGGUGGCAAUUUCUGCAACAAGGCCAUUGGAUGCAUAGCAAGACCUGGAUGAUGAGUACAACAGAAGGAAGGUGGCAGAUGAACAUCUCUGCAAAGCUUUAAAAAUCAAUUGAUAUUCUCCUUUCACAAAAUGAGGGUGUUCCCCAGUCCAUAUUUAUUGAUCAUUCACGGUCACUGACACCUGGCUCGCCAACGACGGAUGCGUGGGCACAUGGUGCACUCCCCAGCGCGAGCACUUAAUGUGUGGGUAACCCGAGACAGUUAAAUUGCCUGGUUAGCAUCCCUUCUUGCUCACCCCCUGCCAUGAAAAGCCACUGAAAAGAAAGGAGACAUGGGGAGCAGGAAGGGGGAAGGGGAGCUGCUGCAGGAGUUUUCACCUGGAUACAGUUGCUAUAGGAACCAGCAUCUCGGCGCCUCCGCUAUUCAGAGAAAUUUGCUUGCCCUAAGAGCGAGCAAAGUUAAGUGGGUUACCCGCAAGUGGAAAUGUUUGGCCCCUGCUUAUCCCAGUGGGAUGGGAGCCCCCUGGGUGUGUGUCGAGAACCAUUGGGGUGAGGGUCUCCUUGGCCCUGUGGGGAGAGUGAGGAUGUGGGAAGAGUAAUGCAAACAGAGGUGCAAGCUGCGCAGUAGUGGUCAGAGGGCUGCUGAAAGAAAUGUCCAGCAGUGGGGACCUGUGGUGGAGAGUGGGGACAAGAAGAAGCCAAGAGAUAGUGACAGAAAUCAGGACUUCUAUUGUGAAGGGAGAGGGAUAGAGACUGUGUGUGCAAGCUCUGGAACAAACAGGGUUCUGGAAAAGGUGAGGGGAAAAAAUAAAAGCUGCAGGAGCAGUGGGUAGCAUGAGAGGUGGAAAUCUUGGAGAGUGAGGCAGCAUUAGUGGAAAGGGUCUGGCUCGGUGUUUGUAAUGUGUGCUAGGAGCCUGGGAUGAAAGGCCUAAGCAGCAAGAGCAGUGCUGUGGGUUUUGAUACAAUUUUGUUAGCUUUCAUGAUAGCUAUUAGUUUCAGUCCUUGAAGCUUCAUCUCGCUGGAAGCUCCGGCUCCGUGCCAUUACCCCGCGGCUGGGUGUGUGUUUGCGCUCAGUGGUGUGGUGCAAGUGCAGACUGCUGCUGCUGGAGCUGGGGCUUAGCAGCUGCGCGUUAGAGCAGCUCUUGACCCUUGGUUUGUAAGAACAGCUUAUUGGCAACCAGGAGUAGAUGGUAGGCAACAAGUUAAUGACUUGUUCCCACCAGCUCAACAAGGACAGUAACUUCAAAAUUGGUAUUGCUGAAGGAGCCUGUAUGAGAAGAUAACAGCACUAAUCACCGCAAGGCAGCGAGGGGAGAUUGUAAGGCAGGGAGAAGAUUAAACAGAAUUACACACAGGAUGAAUAAGUUCAGCAAAGCACUUAAGUCGCUGCCUAAUUUUAAACCAGAACUGGUGCAAAGUAUGGGCCAAUUUGAAGUGAUCAAAGAGAGAACAGUUCUGAGGAUGGCUCAGUUGAGCGGUGUCACUUAGCAGGAGUUCAAAUGAGCAGAAGAAAAGUAGAGAAAAACUUUAAAAUGGUUCAGACUAGACAACAGUGGGCGAACAGAGGUCAGGUAAGAAGAGUAGGGUGGCGGAGCAGGAAAGGGGCGGCAAUGGGAGAAAAUUAUUAUCUAUUAUUAUCUAUUAUGAUAAACGACAAACGGAUUACGGUAAAUCUUCUCGAUGGUCUAUUUACACACUGCAAAUCAGCAAGGGUUGGAACGUAUUUACCAUGUGAUGCGCGUUAACUUCACAAAUUAAUGGUAUUACCUUAAACAACUUCUGAUAAAUGCACCACUUCACAAAAUUACGCAAUUUAUGUAAGGAAACCCAGAUUUCACAUGUCAACUGAUAGAAAUACAAUAUUGAUAUAAUUGUAUUUUUCAGAGAUACGCAUUAAAAAUAGGAACAAUGUAAAUUGAGCAAAAGAAAAGUGUAUAGACUACCACGUGUUGUUUGUGCGCUGCCAAGAGAACUUGAAAGUGUUUUUCCUACAGUCAGCUCUGCGGAGGCCAGCCACCAUGCAGGUCCUGACCUCAACAAUCAAUUAUGUAUGUUUCUGGACAGGAAUUUGUGCAUAGUUUCAUUUAAAAAUAUUAUGUUGCUACUGCCAAUGUUUGUUGACUAAUCCCACAAAAGAAAUAAAGCAGAACACUUGGUAAAAGCCAGGAGCCAAUCUGAGGCUAUCAGCUGACACACAGAGGACCACUUUGAGUGGCAGUGUGUGUUAAGAGUACUGGUAGUGGUGGUCUGCUCCCAGUCAUCUAUAUGGACAACACGUUUCCAAAUAGUACUGCUUGUGGUCACUGCGUUGAUCACUUCGGGCGUACAGUGCAGAGGGACAGGAGAUUAAGUUCAGUUUUUGAAACCAUCCCUAGCACCUUAUUCUUACUGAAAAAUGAGUCUAAAGAGGGAUCUCACUCACUUCUCGGAAAAAAACACCUUUGUAAAAGUUUCCUUUAGGUUCUAGGCACUGCAGUUUUAGGAUGUUUGACUUUAGAUUACUGAUGGCUCAGAUUUCUCAGAAAUCUGGGACAACUGUUUCUCCCUUGACCCUGAUAUCAGCUGUUGGGUCUAAGCACUGAACUCCCAAAAAUAAGGGGCAACAGAUUUUAAACAUCUGUAACACACGAAGGACAGGAGUCAGACAACAAAACAUGUUUGGAUUAUGGUCAUGUGUACUAGAAAGGUAUGAUACAAACAGUGGAAGAGAAAAUUGGAGAGAAAUAUCUAUCUUGCCAAAGUUCAAGCUACAGAAACAGGCUGAGCUCGGAGUAAGGGUGAGAAAGACAGGUUGAAGAAAAGCAAAGUGUACGUGGCAGAGAGGACAGGCACUCAUAUGAGGGAACUUCAACCAAAACAACAAGCUUAUCCUAAACCUCGCCAGAAGGCAAGUGCUCUUUCAGGAAGAGGUGAAAGGAAGAAGAGGUGAUGGCCCUGGCACCUUCUGUCCCAGGAGGAUGGAGGAUUCCCUUCCAGAGCCUUUUAAGAGCUGCAUCCUCUUCUCUGCUAAUUAACUGCUGGCUGGAUUCUCCUCCAGGAGUUAUAUUAUCGCUUUAUCAUCAUCUUCUCUGCUUAUUCUGGAUGUUUUUUUCCUCUGCGCUGGCUCACCACCUGCCUUAGCUGACAGGAUCCCCCUACCCAGGGCUGAGGAUCCAGGGAUUCCCACACCCUUGCAGCUGGGGCUCUGUACUGCUUUUUCAGCAGCUCUGCAGCAUCCUCCAUACAACCGAGCGUGCAUUCCCCUCACAGCAAAACAUUUAUUUGCUUCCAGGCUGCAUCUGCACACGAGGCUGAAACCUUUCCUGAGCUGACAGAAGCAGUGCCUUUCUCCCUUUCUGCGAUCGCUAGAUUCAGGGCAAGUGCUGCAGAAUGGAAGAGACUUUUUCUGCUUUCCUUCCACCUCAGCGUGCGUUAUUUUGCUUCUCUGUUAUAAAUGAUAGCAUUUUGUAAUAGAAUUGCGACCUCACUGCCUUCCCCAGCCACAACAAUUAACAUUAUUACUGGGGCUGAGUAGCAAUAUCCAACAUGUAGCACCACAGUAUCUUCAUCCUAAAUGUGCACUCCUGGCUCCACUGAAAACCAAGCAGAUUUCAUCAGAAUUUUCAGGAUUUUGUCCCUGGUAACAUCACUUCAAAACUUACAGCAGCUUAGAGAGGUGGGUUUGGCAAAGUUCUACUCACUCAGAUACAGUCACACAGGCAUGAAGUCAGCGCAAAAACACCAGAGAUGAGGUCAAAAACAUUCCACGUUUCUCGGUUACUGUGCACUAGCUUCCAUCCCAGCUAGAACAUUGCCAGAGAUUUUGUGGUUGUAGGAGGGUGGGUCAGGAUUUUCAAUGCGUUUUUUUUCUUCUCCUAAAAAUAAUGCCAUAUAAACAACAAUAGAUCCAAGCCAUUCAUUCCCCUCAAAUGAAAACUAAACUGAAAUCUUUUCUUCCCGUGAAAUCUAACAGAAAAUUGUCCUGAUCAGAAAAGGAUUUUCCAAUCCUUUCAUCAAGUGAAAUCUGGCUCUCAGGGCUAAGAUUUGAGACUCUGCCUAUUUUUUUUAAAGGAGCCUGUCCAACAAGAGAUCUUUGACAGGCUUGAAACACUGCAGCAACCUUUAAUUUAGAGAAAUUAUUUCCAGUAGGGAAAGCGGCUGGUCAUGUGCAGGACUCAAAUUAGGACCAACAGCAACACCAACAAAAAAACAGAAAUCAGGAUGCAUGCCAUCCAGGCUCAGCUCUGAGGCUGAUUUGUGCCUCACCGGCAGCUGGUGAAAUAAGGAGCUGCCCUGAGGAAACAGGUAUACAAAUGGCAGGGCGGGUGCUUUUUUCUUCUCUGCCUCUCACCUAAAACCCUGAAACAACAAGUUGCCCUUGUGGUGGAUGAUUAUAAUAAUUAUUGGAAAACAAUUGAAGUGUGAUCGGGUGGGGAGGGCAGUAAUUGAAAUAUUGACAGGUGGUUGCUUUGUGCCGAGCAUCAGGUUUUAAGAUCAGCUGCGCUCCUGAAGGACUCCUGCCUAGGAUGCUGCUGAUAAAGUCUUUAAUUAGCCAAGAUAGAGCUUCAUGAAAACAAACUUUGUUUAUCUUCUCUGGAGAUUAAAUAUUAUUGACGCAUGAAAUUAUCACAAUUGGAUGGUGCUAAGGUAAUCACAUCACAAAGACACAGGUCAUUUCAUCAAGUAUUGCUUCAAGACCAUACAAAAGAUUCAAUCAAUCUUAAGAGAAUUUCCACACAUUUAACUUUUCAUUUGAGCACAACAUCUGAGACAGACUAGCCUGUGUGUUAUUUUUGGACUUCAGAGAAGAUACACGUGCUUUUCAACGAGCUGGUGAAAUGGCAUCCCUUCCUUAGCCAGCAACAGUACAUCCCUUGAAAAAAAGGCAAUGAUCGGGUUAAAUGAAGAAGAAAACCAUGAGGGAUGGGACAAGGAAUUGGAGUUCAAUUCACAUAGCAGUAGCUCAUGGACCAGCAAUGGAGGUAGACACAGAUGAUCCUGAUCUAAACAGGAAUGGUGAGGAAGAACCCUCUGUCUACAGCCUUGCUGCAGGGAGGAGGAUACAUUGGGGUGAGCCUCACCUUCCCAUCUCCUCCUAGCCCCCAAAUCCAGGAAAUCAGCAUCAGAUUAGUUCCAGUUUUUCCAUCCUUAAAAACUGGGCUAGAUCACAGUUGCCUACUGCCAUCUAACAUACUGCUUUCUGCAAUACUGUAUUAAUAUAGCAGGGGUCAGAGCAUCACGAUCAGUCCUUUUAAAAUGACCAAAGAACACUGUCAGCUUAAUGACUCUGGUGGUUUAGCACCAUUCAGCUCUGCUGACCCAGCCCCUGUGGCCGGUACACGUCAGCUUUGUUUCUCUGCCUGUGGAAUUGCCUCUCUGGUUUUUGUGUAAUCGCCUGAUUCACCCGUGUCUCGGCAGCUGCUGAAAAAUGCAUUCUCUGUACCUAGGAAAAACCUGUAUAAAUA